rnacentral:rRNA from 1 species
AGAGCGAACGCUGGCGGCAGGCUUAACACAUGCAAGUCGAGCGGGCGUAGCAAUACGUCAGCGGCAGACGGGUGAGUAACGCGUGGGAACGUACCUUUUGGUUCGGAACAACCCAGGGAAACUUGGGCUAAUACCGGAUAAGCCCUUACGGGGAAAGAUUUAUCGCCGAAAGAUCGGCCCGCGUCUGAUUAGCUAGUUGGUGAGGUAAUGGCUCACCAAGGCGACGAUCGGUAGCUGGUCUGAGAGGAUGAUCAGCCACAUUGGGACUGAGACACGGCCCAAACUCCUACGGGAGGCAGCAGUGGGGAAUAUUGGACAAUGGGCGCAAGCCUGAUCCAGCCAUGCCGCGUGAGUGAUGAAGGCCCUAGGGUUGUAAAGUCUCUUUUGUGCGGGAAGAUAAUGACGGUACCGCAAGAAUAACGCCCCGGCUAACGUUCGUGCCAGCAGCCGC